AACGAACGCUGGCGGCAUGCCUAACACAUGCAAGUCGAACGAGACCUUCGGGUCUAGUGGCGCACGGGUGCGUAACGCGUGGGAACCUGCCCUUAGGUUCGGAAUAACUCCCCGAAAGGGGUGCUAAUACCGGAUAAUGUCUUCGGACCAAAGAUUUAUCGCCUUUGGAUGGGCCCGCGUUGGAUUAGCUAGUUGGUAGGGUAAAAGCCUACCAAGGCGACGAUCCAUAGCUGGUCUGAGAGGAUGAUCAGCCACACUGGGACUGAGACACGGCCCAGACUCCUACGGGAGGCAGCAGUGGGGAAUAUUGGACAAUGGGCGGAAGCCUGAUCCAGCAAUGCCGCGUGAGUGAUGAAGGCCUUAGGGUUGUAAAGCUCUUUUACCCGGGAUGAUAAUGACAGUACCGGAAGAAUAAGCUCCGGCUAACUCCGUG
rnacentral:rRNA from 1 species